UACGUAGGGAGCAAGCGUUGCCCGGAUUUAUUGGGCGUAAAGUGUUCGUAGGCGUUUUGGAAAGUUAUUCUUCAAAGACCGGGGCUUAACCCCGGGCCGGGGAGUAAUACUACCAGAAUUGAAGGAUGCCGGGGUUAUUGGAACUGUCGGUGUAGGGGUGAAAUCCGUUGAUAUCGACAGGAACUCCGAGGGCGAAGGCGGAUAGCUAGGCAUUUCUUGACGCUGAGGAACGAAAGCUAGGGGAGCGAAAGGG
rnacentral:misc_RNA from 1 species